rnacentral:lncRNA from 1 species
AAACUUCAUGAUCUAUAAUUAUCUUUAUUUGCUGACCAACCUGAAGAACAAACAUAGAUGAGGUACGUACCAGACAGAAAAUGAGUUAAUGUUCUUUGACGUGAUUGGCUCCAGACAAGGGAAAACAGACCUGCAGGAGACCCUGUGUCCAUCUAUAGAUGUGGGACUUCUGUAUCCAGUCCCUGGGCUCUUUACUGAAGGCAUCUGAGACACAGGCCUUUGACUCUCAUUCGUUUUAAUGUAUCUUUGGGCUACAAACCAUAAGACCUCCCUCCAAUCGUUCUGUUACUAUACUCUAAAUUCAACUUACAUCAUUUCAUAAAUUUAGUUUCUCUGGGGAUCUUCCUCCCCUUCUGCAGGACAAUCUAUUUAAAUCAUUCUUAAACCAUCACAUUAAACACGAGCUGCCAUUGGCUAUGAGGGGAGCCAAGAAGUGUAUUAAUACCAAGUCUUAAAAUGCUGUCCCCGCCUUUUUAAUUUUACUGUAAAAUCACAGAUAGCUAUUUUAUCACGAAGGAUUUAAUAAGUUUACCUUUUAAACUAAUGGAUUAUAAUGGGUUCUUUAAAUUUUACAUGUAAAACCCCCUGGGAUGGGAAACUUUCAAUUUCUCCUUAAUAACUCAUCACUAUAAAUCAUAUUCCUUGAAUAUACUACCAUACACCAAUCUUGAAAGGGGCUUAGAAAGAACUUGUACCAUUUUCUUUCUGAUGUUUCAGCCACAAGGAAAGGCUAGCUUCUUUCUGAUAGGUAGUACUCAAAGCAAUUUCAUUUUAUUUCCCUCCACAGAAGGUAUUAGAUAUUUAAGCACUCCCAUAAAAGAUCUACCCUUAGAUAUUUCAGAAUGACCUGUUUCUUGAAGAUUUCAUUGGUUUCUCUCCUUCCAGAGGGACAUUUUUUUUUUUCCUAAACAGGUUUUAACUCUGUCCUGGUACAUUUUAUAAUAUUAGGGUUUUUCAUAGCCAGUAGUUAAUUAACAGUAGAACACAUUUCUUGGAUCAUUUCCCCUCCAAUUAAAAUGUAACACUAAUAAUGAUAAUGGUGAUGACAUUAUAAUAUCAAUAAAGGCAAUGGCAAUGCUAUUGUAACAUAACAACACUGACUUAUUUUUGUUCCCCCUCGGAAGCUGUGCAUUUAUCUGGAUCUCUAAAACAAGAGAGAAAAGGAUGAUAAAAUACGAGUUGAUUCAGAGGUCAGUAUAAUGUAAAUAACAAUACUUUCUGAAGAGUUCAACUUUAGGAAAAGCCAUGAAAAGAAAUUGCUUCCUGACUAUUGCACACUUAAUCACAAUCUGGCACCCAAAGGUCUUCCACAGUGAAAGGUCUAUAUAAUGCCAAAUAUCGGGAUGAAAGAUGUUUUCAAAAUAUUCAAGUUUUAAACAUCUGAUUUCAAACAAGACAAAGAUAUUUGCCAUUCAUUCAGAGGGUGGCACCAUGUGAAGUCAAGAGCGGUCAGUCUGGAUGAAAUUCCUUAAUGAUGAAAGGAUCUAACUGUUUUGUUUCAUGGGCCUAAAAUUUAAAAUCAAAGAGGGAAACAGAAAUUGUCAAGCUUCCUUUAUUUCAACUUAGCCAAUAUGACCAUUCAUAUGGCAAGAUGGAUUUCCAUGCAUGUUUGGGCUGGGAGGUAGAAAAGGGAGAGAAAAUGCAUUUAUAGGGCCACUGUCUUUACUUCAGCUAUAAAUGCAUCAAUUACCACACCCUGAGAAUCCCAAGAUGAUAACACAACAUACCAUGGAAGGAUGUCGAGGGACAGAGACCCUGGUAGAGGAUGUUUCUGUCUUUUCACUUUGAAUGUGUGCUCUGUACCCAGCCAUACAGAGCCUGCCAGAGCCUGGGCACCUGGAGGGAGAGGCAUAGGGGGAGGAGGGACCACCACUGAUGGGGAAUCAUUCACUGAACUCACAUCACACAAAUUAGCCAAAUGAUAUCAAGCCAAGAAAUUAACACAAAUACCAAUCAUAAGAUUAAGUAGAGAAUAUUUGAUGCAAAAGCAAUGGGAAGAUGAUAGUAUAGCUUCUGAAAACAGGUAUAUUUGACCCUAAAGGAAUCAGAUCAAAGACAAUAAAGAAGACGAAGGCAGGAGCUCCCUGGUGGUCUAGUGGUUAGGACUUGGUGCUCUCGCCCAGGCAGCCCGGGUUUAGACAGAGAUCACAGGUCAAGUUACGGCCAAAUGAAUACAUGAAGAAGACAAAGGAACAGAAUGAAGGGAAGAAAAAAAAAGUGUGAUCUCUAGUAAAUGUACUUUAUACCUCCUACUAUGUAUCAGCUCUAGGGAAAUUCAGGGUUUAUGUGAAAUACAGAAAUUUGUCCCAAAAUCUGAAGAUUCUGAGUCCAAAUUAUCUCCCGUGCAGCUCCCACAUGGGCAGGGAGUCCCAGCAAAGUCCUGAAGAGAGGCUAAGCCUGGCUGUGUCUAUCUACCUUGGGUACAAAUGCAUAGGAAAGGUGCCCUUGAGGUCAGGGGGCUACUGUUGAUUAUGGUGGAAGCUGUUGGAAUGAAUCAAUUUAAAAUCCAAGCAGUGAGUGUGUUGUUCCUUAGCUAUUACAUACCUGGUUGUGUCAACUGAUUGAUUUUCCAGGUACCACCAUAGCCACCUUCUCCCCUUUAUCAUAAUAGGCUACUUACUAAUUUUUUAAAAUUAAAUUCCUGAUGCUAAGUUAGGGAGGGAACCUCACAUGGUAUUUGGAUUCCAGUUCUAAUGUCAGGCAGUUAAUAAUCCAUUUUCACAACUUAUUAGCUCUGUUACCUAAGAACUGUGCAUCUACCCUCUCUGAGACUUGGUUUUUCCUAAGUAAAAAUAAUAUCAAGCACCAGAGGAAAUAUCUAUGACCUUGUUGCUUUCACAUGCUAUGACCGUCUUCAGUCAUUCUCCUUCCUUGACCAUGGAUUGAGCACUAUCAAUUGGCUCCUUGUAUAAAAAUGUUAUGCCCCUGGAAAAAGGCAUCUUUUUCUUUACAGAUCCUUUAAAAAUUAAAGACAGGGACUAGGGUCGGGGCCAGUAAUUAAGAAAGUCCUUACAAAAAUUAAUGUGAAAAUGUUUGCUAAUCAUAUAACUGACGAGGAAUUGAUAUCCAGAAAAAAGAAAUCCUAUAACUCCAUAACCUAAAACCAAACAGCCAAAUUAAAAAAUACAGUAGGGCCUCAUUUCUUAUCAAUUCUAAAUGUAAUAGUUUGCAUCUACAAACCCCAAACUCCCAGUCCUUCCCCCUGCCUUUAGCAACCACAAAUCUGUUCUCCAUGUCUGUGAGUCUGUUUCUAUAUUCUAUAUAGGUUCACUUGUGCCAUAUUCUAGAUUCCACAUAUAAGUGAUAUCAUAUGGUAUUUGUCUUUCUCUUUCUGACUUAAAGCACAGGGAACUAUAUCCAAUCUCUUGGGAUAGAACAUGACGGAGGAUAGUAUGAAAAAGAGAAUGUAUCUAUAUUUAUGACUGUGCCAGCACAAAGUGACACAACACUGUAAAUCAACUAUACUCUAAUAAAACUAAAAUAAAAAUUUUAAAAAAGGAAAUAAAAAGAAAAGGCAAAUGAAAAAAAUAUAGGUAAAGGAUUUGAAUAGACAUUUCUCCAAGGAAAAUAUACAAAUGACUAACAAGCAUAUGAACAUCUGUUCAACACACACUAAUCACCAGGGAAACGCAAACACAAUGCAAUAUCAAGUCAUACCCAUUUGAAUGGAUAUUAUUUAAAACAAAAUUGUUGGCAAGAAUGUGGAAUGUGGAAACAUGACUGGUGAAAGAACCCUGAUUUUAAUGACAUUGCCUGGGCUCAUGAAUACAGUUAUACAGAGAAUUACUUCCAAGCAAAUACAUUGCCCUACUGGUUCAAGGCAGUUUGAGUUGGCUUUUCUGCCAUUUGCAACUAAGAGAGUUGGUGGUUUUCUUUUCUUUUUUUUCUUUAUGAAUAAUACUCUAAAGAGGAAAAGCAUGUCCUAAGAAGAAGGAAUUGUAUAUGCAAAAGCUCAGAGGUCAAGAAACCAAGGCCCAUGCUGUGUACACAGGUCUCUAAGACCAAAGAGUAGGUGUGAGGAAUGAGGUGGAGAAGCUGGAAAGGUUAAGAGUGAGCAUUUUCUAAUCCAGUAUUGCUCUGCCAGAGCCACUUUAAUCAAAUGCAAAUGUGAUCUCAGGAUUCCUCUCCCUUGCUUAAAAUACAUUAAGGGCAUCCCAAAGGUUUUAGCUUGAAGUUCAAAUCCAUUAGCCAGCAACCCAAGGCUCUUGAUGACCAGCCUGCGCCUUUUCUUGCAUUUCCUCUCCCACAGGCACUCUGUGC